rnacentral:rRNA from 1 species
GGAUCAUUACAAGAACGCCCGGGCUUCGGCCUGGUUAUUCAUAACCCUUUGUUGUCCGACUCUGUUGCCUCCGGGGCGACCCUGCCUUCGGGCGGGGGCUCCGGGUGGACACUUCAAACUCUUGCGUAACUUUGCAGUCUGAGUAAACUUAAUUAAUAAAUUAAAACUUUUAACAACGGAUCUCUUGGUUCUGGCAUCGAUGAAGAACGCAGCGAAAUGCGAUAAGUAAUGUGAAUUGCAGAAUUCAGUGAAUCAUCGAAUCUUUGAACGCACAUUGCGCCCCCUGGUAUUCCGGGGGGCAUGCCUGUUCGAGCGUCAUUUCACCACUCAAGCCUCGCUUGGUAUUGGGCAACGCGGUCCGCCGCGUGCCUCAAAUCGUCCGGCUGGGUCUUCUGUCCCCUAAGCGUUGUGGAAACUAUUCGCUAAAGGGUGUUCGGGAGGCUACGCCGUAAAACAACCCCAUUUCUAAGGUUGACCUCGGAUCAGGUAGGGAUACCCGCUGAACUUAAGCAUAUCAAUAAGCGGAGGA